GACGAACGCUGGCGGCGUGCUUAACACAUGCAAGUCGAACGGAAAGGCCCUUCGGGGUACUCGAGUGGCGAACGGGUGAGUAACACGUGGGUGAUCUGCCCUGCACUUUGGGAUAAGCCUGGGAAACUGGGUCUAAUACCGAAUAGGACCACGCGCUUCAUGGUGUGUGGUGGAAAGCUUUUGCGGUGUGGGAUGGGCCCGCGGCCUAUCAGCUUGUUGGUGGGGUAAUGGCCUACCAAGGCGACGACGGGUAGCCGGGCUGAGAGGGUGACCGGCCACACUGGGACUGAGAUACGGCCCAGACUCCUACGGGAGGCAGCAGUGAGGAAUAUUGCACAAUGGGCGCAAGCCUGAUGCAGCGACGCCGCGUGAGGGAUGACGGCCUUCGGGUUGUAAACCUCUUUCGCCAGGGACGAAGCGCAAGUGACGGUACCUGGAGAAGAAGGACCGGCCAACUACGUGCCAGCAGCCGCGGUAA
rnacentral:rRNA from 1 species